UACAGAGGUCUCAAGCGUUGUUCGGAUUCAUUGGGCGUAAAGGGUGCGUAGGCGGCGCGGUAAGUCGGGUGUGAAAUUUCGGAGCUUAACUCCGAAACUGCAUUCGAUACUGCGGCGCUUGAGGACUGGAGAGGAGACUGGAAUUCAUGGUGUAGCAGUGAAAUGCGUAGAGAUCAUGAGGAAGACCAGUGGCGAAGGCGGGUCUCUGGACAGUUCCUGACACUGAGGCACGAAGGCCAGGGGGAGCAAACGGG
rnacentral:rRNA from 1 species